ensembl:lncRNA
CUUUAGAAUCAUCCGGAAGAUGUAACACAGAGCGCUGGGUCUCACCCCAAGGAUUUCUAAUUCUGCAGACUGAGCAGAGACAUGGAUUUGCAUUUCUAGCAAAUUCUAACGCUCUUGGCCCAGUCAGCCUCUCAGAGAACCAGCUUUCUGCGCUGCCUGGUGCCACUGCUCCUUAUAUAUUUACAAGAGUGAUGAUAGCUCUUCCUGGCUGA